rnacentral:lncRNA from 1 species
ACUAACUACAAGUAUAUUAAAUUUCCAGGAUCCUUUUCUACAGCUUUAUUCUUAGGGUGCGUUUGGUUCGCGCUAUCUUUUUAAGAUUCCUGAUAAUCCAAUAAAAAUAAAAAACUAUGACAAUGUUUGACUAAACGCACUAAGUAAUCUAGUUGGUAAUAUUGGAUUUACUUGGAAUGAGAUGCAUCACAAAGUACUAAUUCCAUUCCUUUGAGGGAGGGUCGGUAUCCUUAUAUUAAUGAAUUUGGGUAAUUAUAAUAUGUCUAAUUUCUUUCUUUCUUCUCACCCGCCGGCUAAUUGGUAUUAUUUUUCUUUACACUCUAACCUCAUAUCUCUCUCUAAACUUAUCUUUUUCUCUCUCUAAACUAAGCUACUUCUCUCCCUCUUUUUCUAAAAUCUCAACCCUCUCAUUCUCUCUAACCUCGACUCUAUUUCUCUUUUUAUUUCUUUAAUUAUGCUCUCUCUUUCUAAUCUAUAUUCUCUUUCUCUUUUUUCUAAAAAGAUGUUGAAAUUUUUUAUAGUAUUAUUUAAAAUUAAUUAAAAAAAUAAAUUAAUUAUAUAUUUUUCGUAAUCUUAAAUAAUAUUGACUAAAUAAUAUGACCGUACGAACCAAACACCAAAAUACUACAUUCCUAGAAAUAGGAUGAAUAGAAAUAAGAUUUUCGGAUAUCAUUUUACUCCUAAUAAUAUUUCAUAGUGCGAACCAAACGCGCCCUUAGAACUAUUUUGGAAAAUCUAAUUAAU